GACGAACGCUGGCGGUAUGCUUAACACAUGCAAGUCGAACGAGAAGGAAGUGCUUGCACUUCCUGAAAGUGGCGAACGGGUGAGUAACGCGUGGGUAACCUACCCUUUGGAAAGGAAUAGCCUCGGGAAACUGGGAGUAAUGCCUUAUAAGAUACGUUUGUCGCAUGGCAUUUGUAUUAAACGCUCCGGCGCCAUAGGAUGGACCCGCGUCCCAUUAGCUAGUUGGUGAGAUAAACGCUCACCAAGGCCACGAUGGGUAACCGGUCUGAGAGGGCGAACGGUCACACUGGAACUGAGACACGGUCCAGACUC
rnacentral:rRNA from 1 species